ACGGGAGGCAGCAGUGGGGAAUAUUGGACAAUGGGGGGAACCCUGAUCCAGCGACGCCGCGUGAGUGAAGAAGUAUUUCGGUAUGUAAAGCUCUUUAAGCAGGAAAGAAGAUGACGGUACCUGCAGAAUAAGCCCCGGCUAACUACGUGCCAGCAGCCGCGGUAAUACGUAGGGGGCAAGCGUUAUUCGGAUUUACUGGGUGUAAAGGGAGCGUAGACGGCGAUGCAAGUCUGAAGUGAAAGCCCGUGGCUUAACUGCGGGACUGCUUUGGAAACUGUAUAGCUAGAGUGUCGGAGAGGUGAGUGGAAUUCCCAGUGUAGCGGUGAAAUGCGUAGAUAUUAGGAGGAACACCAGUGGCGAAGGCGGCUUACUGGACUGUAACUGACACUGAGGCUCGAAAGCGUGGGGAGCAAACAGGAUUAGAUACCCUGGUA
rnacentral:rRNA from 1 species